rnacentral:rRNA from 1 species
UACGUAGGGUGCAAGCGUUAAUCGGAAUUACUGGGCGUAAAGCGUGCGCAGGCGGUUGUGCAAGACCGAUGUGAAAUCCCCGGGCUUAACCUGGGAAUGGCAUUGGUGACUGCACGGCUAGAGUGUGUCAGAGGGGGUAGAAUUCCACGUGUGAGCAGUGAAAUGCGUAGAGAUGUGGAGGAAUACCGAUGGCGAAGGCAGCCCCCUGGGAUAACACGUGACGCCUCAUGCACGAAAGCGUGGGGAGCAAACAGG